UACAGAGGUCUCAAGCGUUGUUCGGAUUCAUUGGGCGUAAAGGGUGCGUAGGCGGCGCGGUAAGUCGGGUGUGAAAUCUCAUGGCUCAACCAUGGAAGUGCAUUCGAAACUGCAGAGCUUGAAUAUGGAAGAGGAGAGUAGAAUUCCUGGUGUAGUGGUGAAAUACGUAGAUAUCAGGAGGAAUACCAGUGGCGAAGGCGGCUCUCUGGUCCAAUAUUGACGCUGAGAAACGAAAGUGCGGGGAUCAAACAGG
rnacentral:rRNA from 1 species